AAAUAAAAAAAUUUGAUUUGGCUAGAAAAGAAAUUCAAAUUUGUCGCCUAAAUUUGAGUGUUGAAGUGUGUUCAAUGCUUGGUUUCGAAUUAAGUACCCGUCAAAUUUUAGGGAGAAAAGGGGUGUGGGUGUUGGGUAGCCAGCACAUAUGCACAUAUCAGGUAAAAGUGUAAUAAGACUUGUGCAGGUGUUUGGGGUGACUUUGGACCUGUUAGAUGUGAUAUUUGGAGGUGCAAAGAAACCGGAUGUGACAUUUUCCUAGAUUGUUUACUGCUCGUGCAUACUGGGAGUCUACAAGCCUCAUGUUGAUGUUGUGAAGAUGCACUGGAUUUUACCGUGUGUGUUGUGGAUUGUGGAAUUGAAUAUACAGUUUGUAAUUGCUCAUCCUAUGUGUUCUAAUUCACGGAGACAAUGUCUUUCAGUCAUUUCACCCAAGGAGGCAUGCAUACGGAUUUAGGCUUUGAAAAAACCCAGCCAAAAUGGCGGCCGGUGAAUUAGAAAGUGUCUGAGUGCAUGUAGGAUAUCUGAACGGAGAAUAGGAGUACUGCAUCCCAUCUGAUCCUGCAGGCCCGUGAUUUUAUAUACAGCAAGAUUACGACUGAAGUUCCACCAGUUGGAAACAAGUCCUCCAUCACAAACGAGGGAAUAUGUUGCACACAUCGAGCAGUCUCCAGUAUAGCACAGAACAGUGGCCUCAAGGACUUUAGUGUUUCAGGAGAUUCAGCUCAUCACUUCAAAGGGCUUUCACUCUGCUGUUCAGAUGACAAAUACAAUGUGACUUCAUAGGGAUGUGUAGUAUGGCUGUAGAAGUUGUUGUGCCAAGUUUCAUGAAAAUUAAAGAAGACAAGUGACAGUGGGUUUUUUUCCGAAGCCUGGUAGGAAGAAUUUGCCGCUUGACCAGGAUCAUUGUCUGGGUCAUCCGGUCAGUGGUUACCACCUGUACUUCAAGGUCACUCUCAGAGGAGUCCCCACAGCAUCCGUAUUCCAGGUGAUGUAUUGAAAUGCUUAAACCACAUGCCCAGGACUACAAAAGUGCUAUUAUUUAUGACUUGUGUGAUAUGAAGAGUAGAAAUGUCGGAGGAUAGAAGAAUUGUUCUCAGGUCAUCAUUACCUGCUGGUGGAGAUUAGGAGUGUCAGAGGAUAGAAGAAUUGUUCUCAGUUCAUCAUUACCUGCUGGUGGAGAGUAGAAGUGUCGGUGGAUAGAAGAAUUGUUCUCAGUUCAUCAUUACCUGCUGGUGGAGAUUAGGAGUGUCGGUGGAUAGAAGAAUUGUUCCCAGUUCAUCAUUACCUGCUGGUGGAGGCUGAACACUUUGAUAAACAUUACUGUUGUCUUGCUGAGAUGUAGCAAUCAGUGUGAGGUUUCAUUUACUGAAAGAAGAGUCGGAGAAGUAUUCGAUUUUCUCAUAUUGUUACAACUCCUACAGUUAUCUCCCUCAGACUAGAUAAAUCAUGUUUGUAAUUAUUAUUACAACCUAUCAUUAAACCCCCCCGCAACAAAUUGUGGGGGGUGGGGGUAUACUGGUAUCGGGUUGUCCGUCCGUCCGUCUGUAGACGCAAUGGUUUUCGGGCUCUAAUGCGUUAUCCUUUCCGCCUACCGUCACCAUAUCUUACAUAUGGACUACCCAUGGGAUGAAGAUGUUCCCUAUCGAUUUUGGGGUCAAAAGGUCAACGGCCAAGGGCACUGGACAUCAAAGUAGCAAUAUGGUUUCCGGGCUCUAAAGCAUUAUCCUUUCCACCUACAGUCACCAUAUCAUACAUAUGGACUACACAUGGGAUGAAGAUGUUCCCUAUCGAUUUUGGGGUCAAAAGGUCAAGCGCACUGGACAUCGAAGUAGCAACAUGGUUUCUUGGCUCUAAAGCGUUAUCCUUUCCACCUACAGUCACCAUAUCAUACAUAUGGACUACCCAUGGGAUGAAGAUGUUCCCUAUCGAUUUUGGGGUCAAAAGGUCAAAGGUCACGCAGACUGGACAUCAAAGUAGCAAUAUGGUUUCCAUUUAAAUUCAUUUAACGGCUUUUUUCAUUGCAUGGAGAUGCUGUGUUCCUAGAUACCUAUUGGAUCAUAAUACUGAAUUUUUACCUAUUACCAACACCCUUUGGGAGAUUGGGGUUAGCGGGGGGUAUUCUUAGUGAGCAUUGCUCACAGUACCUCUUGUUUGGAUCUAAUGCUGUCCGACGUAUUUCAUACCGAUUGUUAGGCCGUUCUUGGCACACUGAUUUUGACUAUGGAUAACUCCGUUUACCUGAUCAGGAUAUAGGACUCACGGCGGGUGUGACCGUCGACAGGGGAUGCAUUGUCUGUGUCCAUAGUUGAAUGUCGUCUAUUGACUGUUAACAAUUGACCAUUUUAACCUCUUCUUGAUAACUGACUUUCAUUUCUUUUCAAACUGAAUUUGAAGCAUCUUUGGAACAAGAGGGACACAAAUUCUAAAUUUUAGGACUUGUGACCUCCUAGGGGGGGGGGGGGGGAGGGGGGGGGGGCAAAAGCAACCAAAAAUUUACUGAUUUAAACGGAAUCUUCAUUACAGCCCCACAUUUAGUUACAAAAUUCAUGAUUCUGGGGAGAGGUGUUUUGGUAACAGGGUGGGACCAAAUUGGUUUUUGUUCACUUGGGCCAAAGGCUCAAGUGAAAUUUUCUGAUCUCAUUUUAUCAAUCAUACGUCUGUCUGACCAUCCGUAAACUUUUUUGUCUUCUUCUCCAAAACCACUGAGUCAGUUUCAACCAAACUUGGCACAAAGCCUCUUUGCCUGGAUUUAAGAUCAAACCAAGAAACAUGUCCACUUGAAGGUGGAAUAAUCAAGAAAAGCUUCCUGGGUCUCAGGAGAUGAUGACAGCCUGACCACAGGAACACUUCCUUCCUCCUACAAGCAGAAAGAGGCUGUCUUACCAUCUGAUUCAUUUCUGGAAAUAGUCUUCCAAAUAGAGUGGGUAAAAUUCUUCCUUUUCACUUAACUUAAGCUAUAUAUUUUUGAUAAAUCCGGUAUAAGCUGAUGUGAAAUUUAUUAUCUCUCCUUCCCAUCCACCCCUUUUUCUGUAAACUUUACGUAUUUCUUGUUUACUCAGGUGACCUAUAAUAAUUGGUCUGCGUCCUUUGUCGUGUGUUAAUAGUCGAAUAUUUUUAACUUUUUGAUAACUACCAUUCAAAUUCUUCUCAAAUUUUAUACCAAGCAUCUUUUGGACAAGGGGGACAUCAGUUGUAAAUUUCAGGAUUCCUGAACCACAGGACCCAAUUUCAACUUAGAACAGACCAUACUUGGAUGAAGGGAUCCAUGAUUGUUCAACUAUAGGGCUUCAACCCAUUCCAAAGGAGAUAGCAAAGAAAUGGCAAAAAUAGGAUUGAGUCGUUUUUGAAUCUUUUCAAGAAGCACUGUUUUACAUAGGGAUAUAUUGGGAAAUCUUUGAAAAUCUUUUCUCAAAAACAAAAAACAAAACAGUAGGACAAUAUAUGAUAUGCAAUCAUUCUAAAGUUGGUAGGGUAAAGUCACAAUAGGGGAUCAACAUUUAGGGCACUUGAAAUUAAUUAUUUGGUUCUCAGGCCAAUUUUCUCAAAACCAGAUGAGGGAGGGAGGCAUUUUGUUUUCAUUUCUAUUAGGCAUGAAAUAGGUGAUGGGGGCUUUUUUGAAAUCUGAAACUUGUUGGAAAAGAAACUUUAAACAUAAAAAGUUCUCUGAAACAUACACUUUGUUGUUCGGUGAUUAAAGCUUUAUACAUAAUUCAGACAUACAGAUUCAGCAAAUAUGGAUGUUUACAUGAAUCUUACAUUAAAUGUUCAUCCAAUACAAUUCUUUUGUGAAGUAAAUUAAAAUUCAAACUGUAACAAACUUGCAAAAACAUCACACGGGCCCUGUUUACAUAACUAAGAAUUGAGAGUGUUGUAUCUCAUUUAAAACUCAAGAAUUGACCAUCCAAAGUUUUACUGACCAUUAGAAAUACCCCAGUUAAACAUAAUAAAUAUUACAAAUGAAAAAAUAAGAUUAGAAAUUUUUAGUCCAAAUAUUGUUUAUGCCCCUUUAAGCAUAAUAUAGUGGUGUUAUUAAGUCAAUUUGUGAUUAAUGUGCGAAUAAAUUUUACAGGGUAUUGGUCACUGGAAGAGUCCCGCUGAUUGACGAGGAAUUGUCCUGAGACUGUGACAUAUUGUAGAGUAGCGGUCACCAGAGAUGUAAGGCUGAUUGAUGAGGGUACUUUUCCUGAGACUCUGUAAAAAUAUCAGAAUUUGGCGUGAAGUGAUUGGUUGUACAGAAAUUUCAAGUUCUCCCAGAUCCAGGGAAACAUGAGGACUAUGGAGUGUCGUGAUGUUAUUGAUGGUCAACAGAAGACUGUGACCUUGAAUCUGAAGAUAUGUGAUGAAGACUGGACGUUUGGGUCACUCUCUGUUACAGUACUACAAAUCUAACAGUGUCAAACUCAGCCACAAAGAGGUUGUCUCUGAUGUCCACACAUAAACCGAAUGGAUCUUCUAAAUCACAGUGAAUGUAACGGAGGAACUGUCCGUCCUGAUCUAGGAUGUGGAUACGGUGAUUGUCAGUGUCUGCUGUCAGGAUGUGACUCUGGCUGUCUGUAGUGAUGCCGGCUGGAUCAAAUGAUUGCUUGGUAUUAGAGGGAUGACCAGUGUAUCUAAAUCGGAGUUUUCCUGACUGAUUGACCACCACUACUGCACUAGCUAAACAGUCAGCCACACAGAUAUCCAGGUUCUUGUUCUCACUGAGGUAUUUACUGUCACCAGAUUUAUAGAGAGGACGCCCCUGAUCAUCAAACUGAAUGCUUUGUUUCUCUGUGGAGCCGGAGUAACGCACGACUUUGGAUUGUUUCCAAUCAUCACUGUCCAUGAUAACCAGGAGGUCGUUACCCGCGGUACAGCAGACAUAGAGAGGUCUCCACCCCUGUAGUCUGAUCACGAUUGAGUUGAGUGGAACAAUGAACCUCCAGAUAUCUAUGUACAUUUACACGUGUAUGAUUAAACUUCUGUUGCACUCGCGCAUGCGAGCUUAUCCUAUA